GUGCCAGCAGCCGCGGUAAUACGUAAGGACCGAGCGUUGUCCGGAAUCAUUGGGCGUAAAGGGUACGUAGGCGGUUAGAAAAGUUAGAAGUGAAAGGCUAUAGCUCAACUAUAGUAAGCUUUUAAAACUGUUUAACUUGAGAGAUGGAAGGGGAAGUGGAAUUCCUAGUGUAGCGGUGAAAUGCGCAGAUAUUAGGAGGAUACCGGCGGCGAAGGCGACUUUCUGGCCAUUAUCUGACGNUGAGGUACGAAGCGUGGUAGCAACAGGAUUAGAUAC
rnacentral:rRNA from 1 species